rnacentral:rRNA from 17 species
GGAUUCCCCUAGUAGCGGCGAGCGAAGCGGGAAGAGCUCAAAUUUAUAAUCUGGCACCUUCGGUGUCCGAGUUGUAAUCUCUAGAAGUGUUUUCCGCGUUGGACCGCACACAAGUCUGUUGGAAUACAGCGGCAUAGUGGUGAAACCCCCGUAUAUGGUGCGGACGCCCAGCGCUUUGUGAUACACUUUCAAUGAGUCGAGUUGUUUGGGAAUGCAGCUCAAAUUGGGUGGUAAAUUCCAUCUAAAGCUAAAUAUUGGCGAGAGACCGAUAGCGAACAAGUACCGUGAGGGAAAGAUGAAAAGCACUUUGGAAAGAGAGUUAACAGUACGUGAAAUUGUUGGAAGGGAAACGCUUGAAGUCAGACUUGCUUGCCGGAGCUUGCUUCGGUUUGCAGGCCAGCAUCAGUUUUCCGGGGUGGAUAAUGACGGUUUGAAGGUAGCAGUCUCGGCUGUGUUAUAGCUUUCCGUUGGAUACAUCCUGGGGGACUGAGGAACGCAGCGUGCUUUUUGCGAAAGACUCGUCUUUUUCACGCUUAGGAUGCUGGUGGAAUGGCUUUAAACGACCCGUCUUG